AAGAGACAGAGACCAGACUCUCCUGGACCCAGCUGUGUGUCCAUGAAGAGUGAUGACUCUAAAGAUCUUAUUAUUCACUUUAAAGAUGGACGUCCUGCUGAUGGAAGGAUGAAGAGACAGAGACCAGACUCUCCUGGACCCAGCUGUGUGUCCAUGAAGAGUGACCAGUCUAAAGAUUUCUAUACUGUCUUUAAAGAUGGACGUCCUGCUGAUGGAAGAGUUCAACAGGAGAGCUCCGAGGUUUACAGAGAUCAAUCA